AUCCUGUCCACUUGUCUAUCCAUCCAUCUCUACUUCUGUUCUUCCGCGGCAGCGUCUAUCAAGUUUCAAUGGAUUCUUAGGUUUUCUGAUCGUGUACGAAAGAUGGUUGAGAGAUGGCGGCUGAGGGGAUCGAGAUGACUGAGGAUCUCACGAGAAAUGGCCUAGUGUUACUAAUGCCGCUGCGAGAAGAAUUACAGGAGGAACUGAAGUUCUCACUAACGUUUGUUGUGAGAAAAUGUUCCGGGAGAAUUGCGAGAACGCACCAGAACAGCAGCUAAUGAUGGCUUCUGAACACUACUACCUGUUCGCAUCUGCUGACCAGUUAUGCGAACGCUAUAUCGUCAUCUGCCAAACUUCAUUGUGUCGCGAUGAUAAGCCUCUUCUCCAUGAAGAUGGCGAGCGUGUAUUGGAGCUCUUACGAGGUAGGUCAUCCAAUAAAUCCACUGAAGGCAGACAACUCAUGACCAAUUAAAAAUCAAUCCCGCAGAGAAAUGAACAGG